rnacentral:lncRNA from 1 species
UGGACUGUAGACCAAUUUCUUCACUGAACAAAUAGUCCUUUAAGAGACUGCAGGUGGCAGCGCUGGCGAAAACCUAUGAGUCUCUGAUUACCUGCUGGAUAUUUUCCUUUUGGAUUCAUGCUUUCUGAAAGCUGAAACAAACGCUACAACAUUUGAGCCCAGCUUCAGUCUUCCCUGCUGUUGAACUGAACAAUAAGCUUCUCAUGACUUGAGCAGGUGUUGAGUUCUUGAGCAUAAACAAGUGUUUAUGGACAUCUUUGACUUCAAGAAGCAUACACAGCGGAGGUGUUGUUUGGACUUGGAAGGAUCAUGCAAAGCGUUAGGAAGCAGCCUACUAGAAACUCUGGUACACAGUAAUGCAUCUAUGGUUGGACUGAUAGUACAGGCGCAGUUGUUGGGAAGAGAGGCAGUGAUUAUGUAAGUAGAAC